GAUGAACGCUGGCGGCGUGCCUAAUACAUGCAAGUCGAGCGAACGGACGAGAAGCUUGCUUCUCUGAUGUUAGCGGCGGACGGGUGAGUAACACGUGGAUAACCUACCUAUAAGACUGGGAUAACUUCGGGAAACCGGAGCUAAUACCGGAUAAUAUUUUGAACCGCAUGGUUCAAAAGUGAAAGAGGGUCUUGCUGUCACUUAUAGAUGGAUCCGCGCUGCAUUAGCUAGUUGGUAAGGUAACGGCUUACCAAGGCAACGAUGCAUAGCUGACCUGAGAGGGUGAUCGGCCACACUGGAACUGAGACACGGUCCAGACUCCUACGGGAGGCAGCAGUAGGGAAUCUUCCGCAAUGGGCGAAAGCCUGACGGAGCAACGCCGCGUGAGUGAUGAAGGUCUUCGGAUCGUAAAACUCUGUUAUUAGGGAAGAACAUAUGUGUAAGUAACUGUGCACAUCUUGACGGUACCUAAUCAGAAAGCCACGGCUAACUACGUG
rnacentral:rRNA from 1 species